rnacentral:lncRNA from 1 species
CUUCCACACUGUGGGAGGUUUGUUCUUUUGCUCUUUGCAAUAAAGCUUGCUGCUGCUCACUCUUUGGGUCCAGACUGUCUUUAUGAGCUAUAACACUCACCGGGAAGGUCUGCAGCUUCACUCCUGAAGCCAAGGAGACCACGAACCCACCGGGAGGAAGGAACAACUACAGACACGCCGGCUUAAGAGCUGUAGCACUCACUGCGAAGGUCCGCAGCUUCACUCUUGAGCCAGAGACCACGAACCCACCAGAAGGAAGAAACUCCAAACACAUCCGAACAUCAGAAGGAAAAAACUCCAGACACGCCGCCUUUAAGAACUGCAACACUGCGAGGGUCCGCGGCUUCAUUCUUGAAGUCAGUGAGACCAAGAACCCACCAAUUCCAGACACACUACCAAAGGCAGAGGGGAGCUCCUAGACAAAGAUAUUUUGCUUACAAAUGGAACAUAUCAAAUCAAGCUUUUGUGAACUUGAGGGAAGAAACAAAGAAUAUGAAGCCUAAAUGGAAGUGUCAGGAAAUGGUCGCCUUGCGGACAAGGAAACAGCAGCCUGGAAGGCCAGGAGAGGGCAGACUACCCACCUAACCCUCUGCAGAAUUUUGUGUGGACCCUGGAGACCAGAAACUAACUUCUCCUGCAGGCUGGAGUGUAGUGGUACGAUCUUGGCUUACUGCAACCUCCACCUCCUGGGUUCAAGCGGCCCUGUCAUCUCAGCCUCCUGAGUAGCUGGGGUUACAGAGCUCCUUUCUGACAACUUGCAAUUGAUCCAACAUUUGAAACCUUAUGCAGGAGCCGGACAGCUUGGUUUUGAAUUAUAAUCUUACAAAUUACUGGCUGUGUGUUAAAUCUUUAAAUUACUGGCUGUGUGACUUUGUGUAAGUACCUUCACUUCUCUGUGCCUUAGUUUAUGUUAUGUAAAAGGUAUGAUAAUAGUAUCUAUCUUGGAAUUUAGUUUUUAAAUAUAAAAUUUAUAUAUCUACAACAGCUGAAUAAGUGUUAUCUAUCUUUAUUACCAUUGCAAUUAUUAUUAUAAUUAUUUGUAUAUGUCGGGCUCAUAAAGCUCUUAGCUUUGCAAAACUGUCUGAGAAAGUUUGCUUUUCUUUGCAUUCAUUGGGAAAUUAACUUUUCUACACAAUAAUGUUUUUAAGGCAUGGACCUGUAAAAUGUUUAAUUGGUGUGGCUUCAAAGUAUAGAAAUUGUAAAGUAGGAAAUAAUUAUACACAACUAUCAAACCAAUAAUAAAGGUCAAUAAAUAUUC